rnacentral:rRNA from 1 species
AAAGGGUGCGUAGGCGGUUUGAUAAGUCUGAUGUGAAAUCCUAUGGCUCAACCAUAGAACUGCAUUGGAAACUGUCAAACUAGAAUACUGAAGGGGCAGAUGGAAUUAGUGGUGUAGGGGUAAAAUCCGUAGAUAUCACUAGGAAUACCGAAAGCGAAAGCGAUCUGCUGGGAAGUUAUUGACGCUGAGGCACGAAAGCGUGGGGAGCAAACGGGAUUAGAUACCCCGGUAGUCCACGCCCUAAACGAUGAAUGCUAGUCGUCGGAAAGCUCGUCUUUUCGGUGAUGCAGUUAACACAUUAAGCAUUCCGCCUGGGGAGUACGGUCGCAAGAUUAAAACUCAAAGGAAUAGACGGGGACCCGCACAAGUGGUGGAGCAUGUGGUUUAAUUCGAAGAUACGCGAAGAACCUUACCUAGCCUUGACAUUGAUUGAAUCUUUCAGAGAUGAGAGAGUGCCUUUCGAGGAACAUGAAAACAGGUGCUGCACGGCUGUCGUCAGCUCGUGUCGUGAGAUGUUGGGUUAAGUCCCGCAACGAGCGCAACCCUCGUCGUUAGUUGCUAACAGUUCGGCUGAGCACUCUAGCGAGACUGCCUUCGCAAGGAGGAGGAAGGUGAGGACGACGUCAAGUCAUCAUGGCCCUUAUGGCUAGGGCUACACACGUGCUACAAUGGGGCGUACAGAGAGUUGCGAUACCGCGUGGUGGAGCUAAUCUCAUAAAGCGUCUCUCAGUUCGGAUUGAUCUCUGCAACUCGAGAUCAUGAAGCUGGAAUCACUAGUAAUCGUAGAUCAGCAAUGCUACGGUGAAUACGUUCCCGGGUCUUGUACUCACCGCCCGUCACACCAUGGGAGUUGAUUUCACCCGAAAUCGGGAAGCAAACCUUCGGGAUGCUACCGCUUACGGUGG